rnacentral:rRNA from 1 species
CCUACGGGAGGCAGCAGUGGGGGAUAUUGGACAAUGGGGGGAACCCUGAUCCAGCGACGCCGCGUGAGUGAAGAAGUAUCUCGGUACGUAAAGCUCUAUCAGCAGGGAAGAAGAAAUGACGGUAUCUGAGUAAGAACCCCUGGCUAACCACGUGCCAGCAGCCGCGGUAAUACGUAGGGGGCAAGCGUUAUGCGGAAUUACUGGGUGUAAAGGGCGCGUAGACGGCGAUGUAAGUCUGGAGUGAAAGGCGGGGGCCCAACCCCCGGACUGCUCUGGACACUGUGUGACUAGAGUGCAGGAGAGGUGGGCGGAAUUCCUGGUGUAGCGGUGAAAUGCGUAGAUAUUAGGAGGAACACCAGUGGCGAAGGCGGCUCACUGGACUGUAACUGACGUUGAGGCUCGAAAGCGUGGGGAGCAAACAGGAUUAGAUACCCGAGUAGUC